UACAGAAGGUGCGAGCGUUAUUCGGCAUGAAUGGGCGUAAAGGGUAUGUAGGUGGUUUUAAAAAUAAAAGUAAAAAUGUUGGAGUUAUAACUUUAGCAUUGGCUUUUUAAAUAAUAAAACUUGAGUUAGUUAUAUGCGGGAGGAAUUCUUUAUGCUAACAAUAAAAAGUGUAUAUAAGGAGGAACACCAAAGGCGAAAGCAUCUUUCAAGACCUAACUGACACUGAGGUACGGAAGCUUAGGGAGCAAACAGGGUUGGAUAUCCUGGUAGUCUACGCCGUCAACGAUGAUUGUUAAAGGUUUAGUGGUAAUUAAUAACUUACUAAAAAAUAACCUUAAAGUUAACACGUGAAACAAUCCGCCUGGGUACUACGAUCGCAAGGUUGAAACUUAAAGGAAUUGACGGGAGUUCUUACAAGCGGUGGAGCAUGUGGUUUAAUCUGAUAAUCCUCGUUUAAUCUUACCAAUCCGUGAAUGUAAUUUAAAUAAUUUUAAUUUUGACUGAUAAUAUCGGUUUAUUUUUUUAAUUUUAAAUAAAUGACACAAGUGUUGCAUGGCUGUCGUAAGUUCGUGUUGUGAAAUAGAUGGUUAAUUGCUAUGAACGAGCGAAACCCUCAUUUUUAUUUACGUUUUUAAAUUAUUUUUAGAUUCGUUUAAAAAAACAGCUAAGGAAAUCUGAGAGGAAGGUGGGGAUCACGGCAAGUCGUCAUGGCCUUUGAGGAUUGGGCUACACAUUUGCUACAAUGGAAACUUCAAAAAGUAGCAACAAUUAUUUGAGCAAAUCUUUAAAUGUUUCUAAAACGAAUUGUUUUCUGCAACUUGAAAACAUGAAGCGGGAAUCGCCAGUAAUCGCAAAUCAGCAAAGUUGCGGUGAAUACGUACUAGAGCUC
rnacentral:rRNA from 1 species